rnacentral:rRNA from 1 species
UACGUAGGGCGCAAGCGUUGUCCGGAAUUAUUGGGCGUAAAGAGCUCGUAGGCGGCCUGUUGCGUCCGCUGUGAAAUCCCGGGGCUCAACCCCGGGCGUGCAGUGGAUACGGGCUGGCUGGAGGCAGGCAGGGGAGAACGGAAUUCCUGGUGUAGCGGUGAAAUGCGCAGAUAUCAGGAAGAACACCGGUGGCGAAGGCGGUCUGCUGGGCCAAGACUGACGCUGGAGGCGCGACAGCGUGGGAGCAAACAGG